rnacentral:rRNA from 1 species
UUGGGGCGUGUCUCCCUUCGGGAGACUCUCUCAACCCCACGAACCCUUGACCUCAAAUCGGGUGAGACUACCCGCUGAACUUAA